UACGGGGGGGGCAAGCGUUGUUCGGAUUUACUGGGCGUAAAGGGCCAGUAGGCGGCCAACUAAGUCGGAUGUGAAAUCCCCAGGCUUAACCUGGGAACUGCAUCCGAUACUGGAUGGCUUGAAUUCGGGAGAGGGAUGCAGAAUUCCGGGUGUAGCGGUGAAAUGCGUAGAUAUCUGGAGGAAUACCGGUGGCGAAGGCGGCAUCCUGGACCGGUAUUGACGCUGAGGCGCGAAAGCUAGGGGAGCAAACGGG
rnacentral:rRNA from 1 species